CAGAGUUUGGAUUAGAUAAACCAGUGGUAGACACUUGUUUCCUCAGUUUUCAGCUGCAAUCUAGGUGUGCAUGUUCUAGGGUCUGCUGCAAUGGUUCUCAUUGCUUUGAUAGACAUUUAGGCAUCUUCUGGAGUCAGUUACAGCAAUGAACAGGGGUAUAAGUCUCAGGACAGCAACCCAAGUUAGCAGAUAAUUGCACAGUAAGACAGCUGUGUUCAAAAUUACCCAUAGCUGCUUUCAUGCCUUCCUUUUAUACGCCAGUAGGAGGAGCAAGAAGGCGGAUGUAAGAGGGAGCUCUGAAAGGGGAGAGAGCAAGAGAGAAGAAAUGUGACUACUUGCAGAUGUUUUAAAAUAAUAUUUCAAAAAAACAGAGAAGACUGGGCAUCUCCCUUGAGUUGUCCUUCUACAGAUAUCUGCUGACAGGAAAAAGGAAGAGAGAACGACCUCCCCCAGGCAAACAGAAUGGUAAAGCAAGUAAACUGCUAAAGAAAGGAGAGGUUUCUCCAAAGGACGAUUCUAUAUCUGGCCUUCCAAAAAGACGGUUUCAUAAAAGACUCAUAGUAGCCUUUUCCAGUCCUCUAAUCCGACAGUUGCUGCUUUCUAUGCAUUCAUAUUUACAUCAUAAACAUGGAAUUUUCAUUAACAGAGUGUUAGUUGAGACUGGAAUAAGGCCUCUUAUUGGAAAUCACGUGUCAAAAAGUGGGACAGUUUCCACCAUCACAAAUUGCCUCUCUAAGCCUCAGAUAAACUUUUUGGGGAAAACUUAUCAGUCACACCCUCCCGAACAAUAUAACUGGCAGGGCUGUGGCGCAGGCUGGUUAGCAGCCAACUGCAACAAAUCACUCUGACCAAGAGGUCAUGAGUUCGAGGCCAGCCCGUGCCUGCAUCUGUCUCUGUCUCUGUUCUAUGUUAUGGCAUUGAAUGUUUGCUUUAUAUGUGCAAUGUGAUCUGCCCUGCCCUUCGGGGUGAGAAGGGUGGAAUAUAAAUACUGUAAAUAAAUAAAUAAAUAAACUGGUACGUUUUGAGAAGGGUAA